CGCGUAGGCGGGCUUUCAAGUUUGGGGUGAAAUCCUCCGGCUCAACCGGAGAACUGCCUCGAAUACUGAAGGUCUCGAGGGGGAUAGGGGCAUGCGGAACUACGGGUGGAGCGGUGAAAUGCGUUGAUAUCCGUAGGAACUCCGGUGGCGAAGGCGGCGUGCUGGAUCCCUUCUGACGCUGAGGCGCGAAAGCCAGGGGAAGGCAAACG
rnacentral:rRNA from 1 species